CUCAGUUUGGCCGGGCGGCCAGCUCUAGGAAGAGUCUUGGUGGUUCCAAACUUCUUCCAUUUAAGAAUGAUGGAGGCCACAGUGUUCUUGGGAACCUUCAACGCUGCAGACAUUUUUUGGUACCCUUCCCCAGAUCUGUGCCUUGACACAAUCUUGUCUCUGAGCUCUACGGACAAUUCCUUCGACCUCUUGGCUUGGUUUUUGCUCUGACAUGCACUGUCAACUGUGUGCCUUUUCAAAUCAAUUGAAUUUACCACAGGUGGACUCCAAUCAAGUCGUAGAAACAUCUCAAGGAUGAUCAAUGGAAACAGGAUGCACCUGAGCUCAAUUUCGCUGUCUCAUAGCAAACGGUCUGGAUACUUAUGUAAAUAAGAACCUUCCAGGACUCAGUCACAGCAGCCAUCUUCCUCCUCCCUGUUUUAAUGAAGAUCCCAGAGGCCUUUUCAUUACGGACAAGACUUCCCCCUCUCCAUACACCUCUGAUGAAUAUAACAGGAAAACUAUUCGGUCACCAUGCACUGCCAAAUCAUU
rnacentral:lncRNA from 1 species